rnacentral:rRNA from 1 species
GACGAACGCUGGCGGCGUGCCUAAUACAUGCAAGUCGAACGAACUCUGGUAUUGAUUGGUGCUUGCAUCAUGAUUUACAUUUGAGUGAGUGGCGAACUGGUGAGUAACACGUGGGAAACCUGCCCAGAAGCGGGGGAUAACACCUGGAAACAGAUGCUAAUACCGCAUAACAACUUGGACCGCAUGGUCCGAGUUUGAAAGAUGGCUUCGGCUAUCACUUUUGGAUGGUCCCGCGGCGUAUUAGCUAGAUGGUGGGGUAACGGCUCACCAUGGCAAUGAUACGUAGCCGACCUGAGAGGGUAAUCGGCCACAUUGGGACUGAGACACGGCCCAAACUCCUACGGGAGGCAGCAGUAGGGAAUCUUCCACAAUGGACGAAAGUCUGAUGGAGCAACGCCGCGUGAGUGAAGAAGGGUUUCGGCUCGUAAAACUCUGUUGUUAAAGAAGAACAUAUCUGAGAGUAACUGUUCAGGUAUUGACGGUAUUUAACCAGAAAGCCACGGCUAACUACGUGCCAGCAGCCGCGGUAAUACGUAGGUGGCAAGCGUUGUCCGGAUUUAUUGGGCGUAAAGCGAGCGCAGGCGGUUUUUUAAGUCUGAUGUGAAAGCCUUCGGCUCAACCGAAGAAGUGCAUCGGAAACUGGGAAACUUGAGUGCAGAAGAGGACAGUGGAACUCCAUGUGUAGCGGUGAAAUGCGUAGAUAUAUGGAAGAACACCAGUGGCGAAGGCGGCUGUCUGGUCUGUAACUGACGCUGAGGCUCGAAAGUAUGGGUAGCGAACAGGAUUAGAUACCCUGGUAGUCCAUACCGUAAACGAUGAAUGCUAAGUGUUGGAGGGUUUCCGCCCUUCAGUGCUGCAGCUAACGCAUUAAGCAUUCCGCCUGGGGAGUACGGCCGCAAGGCUGAAACUCAAAGGAAUUGACGGGGGCCCGCACAAGCGGUGGAGCAUGUGGUUUAAUUCGAAGCUACGCGAAGAACCUUACCAGGUCUUGACAUACUAUGCAAAUCUAAGAGAUUAGACGUUCCCUUCGGGGACAUGGAUACAGGUGGUGCAUGGUUGUCGUCAGCUCGUGUCGUGAGAUGUUGGGUUAAGUCCCGCAACGAGCGCAACCCUUAUUAUCAGUUGCCAGCAUUAAGUUGGGCACUCUGGUGAGACUGCCGGUGACAAACCGGAGGAAGGUGGGGAUGACGUCAAAUCAUCAUGCCCCUUAUGACCUGGGCUACACACGUGCUACAAUGGAUGGUACAACGAGUUGCGAACUCGCGAGAGUAAGCUAAUCUCUUAAAGCCAUUCUCAGUUCGGAUUGUAGGCUGCAACUCGCCUACAUGAAGUCGGAAUCGCUAGUAAUCGCGGAUCAGCAUGCCGCGGUGAAUACGUUCCCGGGCCUUGUACACACCGCCCGUCACACCAUGAGAGUUUGUAACACCCAAAGUCGGUGGGGUAACCUUUUAGGAACCAGCCGCCUAAGGUGGGACAGAUGAUUAGGGUG